rnacentral:rRNA from 1 species
UACAGAGGGUGCAAACGUUGUUCGGAAUUACUGGGCGUAAAGCGCACGUAGGCGGCUUUGUAAGUUAGAGGUGAAAGCCCGGGGCUCAACUCCGGAAUUGCCUUUAAGACUGCAUCGCUAGAAUUGUGGAGAGGUAAGUGGAAUUCCGAGUGUAGAGGUGAAAUUCGUAGAUAUUCGGAAGAACACCAGUGGCGAAGGCGACUUACUGGACACAUAUUGACGCUGAGGUGCGAAAGCGUGGGGAGCAAACAGG